rnacentral:rRNA from 1 species
UACAGAGGGUGCGAGCGUUAAUCGGAAUUACUGGGCGUAAAGCGCGCGUAGGCGGCUUUGCAAGUCGGGUGUGAAAUCCCCAGGCUUAACCUGGGAACUGCAUUCGAGACUGCAUUGCUAGAGUAUGGGAGAGGGAAGUGGAAUUCCGGUGUAGCGGUGAAAUGCGUAGAUAUCGGAAGGAACAUCAGUGGCGAAGCGACUCCUGGACCAAUACUGACGCUCAUGUGCGAAAGCGUGGGGAGCAAACAGG